AGAGUUUGAUCCUGACUCAGGAUUAACGCUGGCGGCGUGCCUGACACAUGCAAGUCGAACGAGGUCGCAAGACCUAGUGGCGGACGGGUGAGUAACACGUGACCAACCAACCUCGAAGUUGGGAAUAGCUCUGCGAAAGCAGGGGUAAUACCGAAUGUGGCCCGGCGCGGACAUCCGCACCGGUCUAAAGAUUUAUCGCUUCGAGACGGGGUCGCGGCCUAUUAGCUUGUUGGUGGGGUAACGGCCUACCAAGGCGAUGAUGGGUAGCUGGUCUGAGAGGACGACCAGCCACACUGGGACUGAGACACGGCCCAGACUCCUACGGGAGGCAGCAGUGAGGAAUCUUCCGCAAUGGGCGAAAGCCUGACGGAGCAACGCCGCGUGUGGGAUGAAGACUCUAGGGUUGUAAACCACUGUCGGAGGGGACGAUCGUGACGGUACCCUCCAAGAAAGCCCCGGCUAACUACGUGCCAGCAGCCGCGGUAAUACGUAGGGGGCGAGCGUUAUCCGGAUUUACUGGGCGUAAAGCGCGUUAAGGCGGAUGGCCAAGUUGGCGGUGAAAUUUCGGGGCUCAACCCCGAAACUGCCGCCAAAACUGGUCGUCUAGAGUAUGGGAGAGGAAGGUGGAAUUCCGGGUGUA
rnacentral:rRNA from 1 species